CACGAAGUCGGAAUUGCUAGUAAUCGCGGAUCAGAAUGCCGCGGUGAAUACGUUCCCGGGCCUUGUACACACCGCCCGUCACACCAUGGGAGUCGGUAACACCCGAAGUCGGUGGUCUAACCGCAAGGAGGACGCCGCCAAGGUGGGAUUGAUGACUGGGGUGAAGUCGUAACAAGGUAUC
rnacentral:rRNA from 1 species